UUUGGAGUAAAUUGCUUAACUGAAUAAUUUUUAAUUGGCUAUUUAUACCAAAUACAACUAACUGGAUGGCUUCACUUUCUUAUUUGUUGCAUAAUUGACCAAUUAAAAGAAUACGCCUAACAAUUCACUGCAACUAUAUAUUUGGUGUAAAAAUCAUUUUUCUUAGGGUUAAAUGCAAAAAAAAAAAAAAAAAAACCCCUAAGCUAUUGACAUAUCUGCAACUAACCCCCCUAAACUACAAAAAUUGCAACUAACCCCUUGAAGUAUUCAAUUUGUUACAGAUGAGUCCAUCCAGCAGGAAUCCGGCAACUUUGACCGUAAAAAAUGGCAUAUGUCAUCACGUGAUGUAGAUUUGUAAAAUAAAAGACCAGAAAACCCUUAUUCACAUAAAAGGACAAAAAUGCCCUUACUUGUUACCGUUAUAACCAAACGGUCAUAUGUCAGCCUAUAUCAGCGUAUAACGUUAUAACCAAACACAGCCUUCUAAUAAAAAUCAAGAAAUUUGCUUGCCCUAGAUUGAUAGAACCUUUCUUCCCAAAAUCAGUUAAGCUUCAUCUGUGGCCUUCGUCUUUGGAAACAUCGAUCAAGUUCUUGGUAAAGGUUUAUAUUUAUCUCUUUAUUUCUUUGAAUGUUCAUCUGUGGCGGUGGCCUUCGUCUUCGAAAUCAAGAAAUUUGCUUGCCCUGAACCUCUGUUCCCAAAAUCAGUCAAGCUUCAUGUCUGGCCUCAUCUUUGGAAACACUGAUUAGGUUCUUGAGAAUGAGUUUUGUAUCAUCGACCCGUACUUCCCAUCGAAGGGGUCCCUUUUGGAACAGAAAAUGUUUUUGUGACCAAAGGGCAGGCAUAUUCAUUUCUGAGUCAAAAACAAUCAAGUGCAAAGAUGAAAUCUGUAAUUUUUUUGUAUGGUGGAAUAAUCCAAUAACUACUACAGCAAAUGAAGAUAAAGCACAUCCAGUUCCUCAUCUAGCACCUAUGACUGACAUCAAUUCAAUUGCCAAGUUAAUGUUUGUUGCAAGCUUGUAUUUGUUUGGGUUAUCAGUUGUAAUUCUAAUUGCUUCCCUUUUGUUAAAGUGAAUUUUCUGUUUUGAGAGUUCAGCUUGUGUGUUGAAGAUGGUGUUGUGGAAGUUAAGGUUGUGUAUUGAAGGGUCUAUUUUGGGAGCUGGGUUGUGUUGUAACUUUUGUUCAGGGUCUUCAAGUUCUUGUAAUAUUUUGAUGAUUAAUUUCCUUUGAUGUA